GACGAACGCUGGCGGCGUGCCUAAUACAUGCAAGUCGACCUUAGUGGCUAACGGGUGAGUAACACGUGGGUAACCUGCCCAUCAGAAGGGGAUAACACUUGGAAAAAGGUGCUAAUACCGUAUACUGAUUGAUGGCACCGCGGUGCAUUAGCUAGUUGGUGAGGUAACGGCUCACCAAGGCAACGAUGACUAGGCGACCUGCGAGGGUGAUCGGCCACAGUGGGACGUAGACACGGCCCAAACUCCUACGGGAGGCAGCAGUAGGGAAUCUUCGGCAAUGGACGAAAGUCUGACCGAGCAACGCCGCGUGAGUGAAGAAGGUUUUCGGAUCGUAAAACUCUGUUGUUAGAGAAGCGGUAUCUAACCAGAAAGCCACGGCUAACUACGUGCCAGCAGCCGCGGUAAUAC
rnacentral:rRNA from 1 species